CCACACUGCAGCCCCACACCCCAAUUACCAUUCUCCAUUGCAAAAAACAAAAGAAUAAACCUAACAUCCCCUUCAAUCUUCCCCACGCAUGUCACGAUCUCCCCACACCCUUCAUCUUCGCUAUCAAGGGCAGCAAAACUGUGUUCCUUUCCCUUGACCCAUUCCAACCUCUGUCCUUCUUUAAUUAGUUGUGUCGCCAACACGUUCAGAGUGGAGAUGUGACUGUAGCACCCAAGCAUGGUGGAGAUGAUGUGUGGCGUGGCGUUGUGUCGUAAUUGAAAGGUAUGUCUUUGAUGGGGAAGCCGUUGGCGCAAAGGAUCUGUUGUGGCUCGUUAUUUUUUCGUUGAUUUAGUGAGAAAUUGAGAAGAAUGGAGUUGUCCUUGCAAUAUCUAGAGCAUAUGGCUGUUCAAAUCAGAUUGUUGCAGCGCAUGGAAGGAUACUAUGCCAGCUAUUUCGGGUAUUAUGAGGUUGAUGAGAGCAAUCCAUUUGAUUCAUUAUAGUGGCUAAUUCAUGAUUCACAGGCAACUAAGUAGUAAGCUGAUAUCAGAUUCAGAUCGUUCAAUUUAUCUUAUUGGUAGGCCUCCUUUGGUUGGUGGCUCGGUUGGUGUCUUUUAUUUGAUUCUAGUUAUCUGCAGCUAUAGGGAGUCUUAGAAGGAUUUGGAUUUAAGAUUGUUAUUUAUUGUUUUAUUGUAAAAGUUGCUCUUGAGUGCUAAAAUUGAAAUUUUCCUUUUAAUGAAAGUAUGAAAAUGGAGAUCAUUAUUUGACAAGUUUUGUCAUUUAGAUAUUGGUGUUACAGAUGAGAUCUUGUAUAUUUAUUUUUUUUUAUAAAAUAUAGAGAAACAUAUGUAACUUUAGAGAAUAGUUUGGAAAAUGAUUUUUGUGAGAAACAGGCUUGCCAGACUAGAGUGUCAGUCUGUGCGCCGGUCACGGCUUAGGAUUUUGGGUCGUGACAAUAUGCUAAAGUAGCAGUGUACCUACCAUCUUGUAUCUCCCUCAAUAAAAUCAUAGCAUUUACUUGUGGCAUAGUAGGAUUAGGGACACUCUCAAUCUUUGCUCGAACCUUAGAUAAAAUCAUCGUAUAAAGUUGUGAAAGAUUCCAUCCGCCUCAAUGCUAAAGAUCGGCAAUACAAAGCUUAGUGUCAAGUCAAUCCUCUUACUGAACAAAUGUAAGACCCUCGCCCAUGCAACCACCAAUCCCACCAACAAGGGCA